UACGUAGGGUGCAAGCGUUUAAUCGGAAUUACUGGGCGUAAAGCGUGCGCAGGCGGUUUUGUAAGUCUGUCGUGAAAGCCCCGGGCUCAACCUGGGAAUGGCAUUGGUGACUGCACGGCUAGAGUGUGUCAGAGGGGGGUAGAAUUCCACGUGUAGCAGUGAAAUGCGUAGAGAUGUGGAGGAAUACCGAUGGCGAAGGCAGCCCCCCUGGGAUAACACUGACGCUCAUGCACGAAAGCGUGGGGAGCAAACAGG
rnacentral:rRNA from 1 species